rnacentral:rRNA from 1 species
AUUGAACGCUGGCGGCAUGCUUUACACAUGCAAGUCGAACGGCAGCGCGGGCUUCGGCCUGGCGGCGAGUGGCGAACGGGUGAGUAAUACAUCGGAACGUGCCCAGUAGUGGGGGAUAGCUCGGCGAAAGCCGGAUUAAUACCGCAUACGAUCUGAGGGUGAAAGCGGGGGAUCUUCGGACCUCGCGCUAUUGGCGCGGCCGAUGGCAGAUUAGCUAGUUGGUGGGGUAAAGGCCUACCAAGGCGACGAUCCGUAGCUGGUCUGAGAGGACGACCAGCCACACUGGAACUGAGACACGGCCCAGACUCCUACGGGAGGCAGCAGUGGGGAAUUUUGGACAAUGGGCGAAAGCCUGAUCCAGCAAUGCCGCGUGUGUGAUGAAGGCCUUCGGGUUGUAAAGCACUUUUGGCGGGAACGAAAAGGACUGUGCCAAUACCACGGUUUGAUGACGGUACCCGCAGAAUAAGCACCGGCUAACUACGUG